CCGAGGUGGUGCAAAUGGCAUCUGGAGGGAGCAGGGCCGGGUCUGGUCCAGCCUGGAUCCAUGGAUGAUGAUGCUAUGGCCACAGGGACCUCUUGUAACCCCUAACGCACAUCCCUUGGAGCCGCUGGGUCACCACUGAGCAGGUGACCCACUCACCUUGACAGAUCACAGAGGACUUCUGGGACUUCAGGUGUGCAUGGUCCUUGUUUGAAGAGUCAGCAACAUCUACUGUGCAGUAACAGUGGGCAAAGCUCUGCUAAAUACAGGCAGAAACACCGGGGUCUGUUGACCAGGAGGCAGGA
rnacentral:lncRNA from 1 species